UGUUCAGUCUGGAGAAGAGGAGGCUCAGGGGGAGACCUUACCACUCUCUGCAACUGCCUGAAAGGAGAUUGUAGCAAGGUUCUCCAUGGAUGAAGUCUGCAAGUAACAUUCAGUGGUAUCGAUUGCAGUGUAAUAAAUCAAGCAAAAUCAUUUGUCCUCCAGGUUUUCCCUUCAACACAGUAGGGGAAGAAACACCUCGCAUUACUCUUCCUCCUCUUCUUCAGACCUUCUCUACAAAGUCCAAGCAGCCCCAAGCCACUCCACAGGGAAAAUAGAUGAUACAACAUGCUGGAUGAAGGCCUAAAGAAAAAGCUGACUGAGAUCCGGAGACGAGACAGAAUGAGAUCUUCCAAGUUAGGCUGUUAAUCACAGCGUCAAACUGAGGAAGACAACUUCCUGGUCUGAGAGAAACAACAGCUCAUACCUCUGCUUCAAACCCUUUAAAGAUCCUAUGAGAUUCAAGUGCUAAUUCACACUGCAUGAUCGGAAAGAACAACUGGUUCACAGAUGGCGAGUUUUUCAGCUUUGAUGUCUCCUGUUUUGAAACAAGAUACAAGAAAUGAAAAGGAAAAAAUGUGUCUCGAGCUUCCAAAGCUGUGUAUAGCCAUAAUAAUCUUAUUUUGACUGGUUUUUAUCUAUUUAGCUUUUUCAAAAAUUAAAGCUUUACUACUAUG
ensembl:lncRNA